GAUGAACGCUGGCGGCGUGCCUAAUACAUGCAAGUCGAGCGAACAGAUAAGGAGCUUGCUCCUUUGACGUUAGCGGCGGACGGGUGAGUAACACGUGGGUAACCUACCUAUAAGACUGGAAUAACUCCGGGAAACCGGUGCUAAUGCCGGAUAACAUUUAGAACCGCAUGGUUCUAAAGUGAAAGAUGGUUUUGCUAUCACUUAUAGAUGGACCCGCGCCGUAUUAGCUAGUUGGUAAGGUAACGGCUUACCAAGGCAACGAUACGUAGCCGACCUGAGAGGGUGAUCGGCCACACUGGAACUGAGACACGGUCCAGACUCCUACGGGAGGCAGCAGUAGGGAAUCUUCCGCAAAGGGCGAAAGCCUGACGGAGCAACGCCGCGUGAGUGAUGAAGGUCUUCGGAUCGUAAAACUCUGUUAUUAGGGAAGAACAAAUGUGUAAGUAACUGUGCACGUCUUGACGGUACCUAAUCAGAAAGCCACGGCUAACUACGUG
rnacentral:rRNA from 1 species